GUUAGCUCAGUUGGUUAGAGUGUGGUGCUUAUAAUGCCAAUGUUGCAGGUUCGAUCCCCGUAUGGGACA